rnacentral:rRNA from 1 species
UACGGAGGGGGCAAGCGUUAUUCGGAAUUAUUGGGCGUAAAGGGCGCGUAGGCGGCUAGAUGUGUCAAAGGUGAAAUCCCUCGGCUCAACUGAGGAACUGCCUUUGAAACUGUCUGGCUUGAGGCCGGGAGAGGGUAGCGGAAUUCCCAGUGUAGCGGUGAAAUGCGUAGAUAUCGUGAGGAAGACCAGUGGCGAAGGCGGGUCUCUGGACAGUUCCUGACGCUGAGGCGCGAAGGCCAGGGGAGCAAACGGG